rnacentral:rRNA from 1 species
UACGGAGGGUGCGAGCGUUGUCCGGAUUCAUUGGGCGUAAAGAGCGUGUAGGCGGCCAGGUAGGUCGGUUGUGAAAACUGGAGGCUCAACCUUCAGAGGUCGACCGAAACCAUCUGGCUAGAGUCCGGGAGAGGAGAGUGGAAUUCCUGGUGUAGCGGUGAAAUGCGCAGAUAUCAGGAGGAACACCGGUGGCGAAGGCGGGUCUCUGGGCCGAUACUGACGCUGAUGCGCGAAAGCCAGGGGAGCGAACGGG